GAUGAACGCUGGCGGCGUGCUUAAUACAUGCAAGUCGAGCGAACGGACGAGAAGCUUGCUUCUCUGACGUUAGCGGAGGACGGGUGAGUAACACGUGGAAAACCUACUUAUAAGACUGGGAAAACUUCGGGAAACCGGAGCAAAUACCGGAGGAUAUCUUGAAGCGCAUGGGUCAAAAGUGAAAGUCGGCCUUGCUGUAACUUCUAGAUGGAUCCCAGCUGCAUUAGCUAGUUGGUACGGUAACGGCUUACCAAGGCAACGAGGCGUAGCCGACCGGAUGGCGUGAUCGGCCACACUAGAGCUUGAACACGGUCCAGGCUCCUACGGGAGGCAGCAGUCGGGAAUCUUCCGCAGUAGUCGAAAGCCUUACGGAGCGGCGCCGCGUGAGUGGUGGAGGUCUUCGGAUCGUGAUGCUCUGUUAUUAGUGAUGAACAUAUGUGUAAGUUACUGUACACAGCUUGACGGUACCUAAUCAGGAAGCCACGGCUAACUACGUG
rnacentral:rRNA from 1 species